UUUUUAAGUCNGAUGUAUAANCCCGGGNCUCAACCCCGGGAGGCAUGGNAAACUGGGAGGCUUGAGUACNGAAGAGGAGAGUGNAAUUCCACGUGUAGNGGNGAAAUGCGUAGAUAUGUGNAGGAACACCAGUGGCGAAGGCNACUCUCUGGUCUGUAACUGACGCUGAGGCGCGAAAGCNUGGGGAGCAAACAGGAUUANAUACCCUGGUAGUCCACGCUGUAAACGAUGAAUGCUAGGUGUCAGGGGUUUCAAUACCCUGGGUGCCGAAGUUAACACAUUAAGCAUUCCGCCUGGGGAGUACGG
rnacentral:rRNA from 1 species